rnacentral:rRNA from 1 species
AGAUUGAACGCUGGCGGCGUGCUUAACACAUGCAAGUCGAGCGGUAACGCGGGAGCAAUCCUGGCGACGAGCGGCGAACGGGUGAGUAAUGCUUGGGAAUCUGCCCAUUAGUGGGGAACAACCAGCCGAAAGGUUGGCUAAUACCGCAUACGCCCUACGGGGGAAAGCGGGGGAUCGAAAGACCUCGCGCUAAUGGAUGAGCCCAAGUCGGAUUAGCUUGUUGGUAGGGUAACGGCCUACCAAGGCGACAAUCCGUAGCUGGUCUGAGAGGACGACCAGCCACACUGGGACUGAGACACGGCCCAGACUCCUACGGGAGGCAGCAGUGGGGAAUAUUGGACAAUGGGGGGCAACCCUGAUCCAGCGACGCCGCGUGUGUGAAGAAGGCCUGCGGGUUGUAAAGCACUUUUAGUGGGGAUGAAAAGCUCAGGGUUAACACCUCUGGGUCUUGACCUAACCACAGAAAAGCACCGGCUAACUCUGCGCCAGCAGCCGCGGU